rnacentral:rRNA from 1 species
GAUGAAUGCUGGCGGCGUGCCUAAUACAUGCAAGUCGAGCGAACAGACGAGGAGCUUGCUCCUCUGACGUUAGCGGCGGACGGGUGAGUAACACGUGGAUAACCUACCUAUAAGACUGGGAUAACUUCGGGAAACCGGAGCUAAUACCGGAUAAUAUAUUGAACCGCAUGGUUCAAUAGUGAAAGACGGUUUUGCUGUCACUUAUAGAUGGAUCCGCGCCGCAUUAGCUAGUUGGUAAGGUAACGGCUUACCAAGGCAACGAUGCGUAGCCGACCUGAGAGGGUGAUCGGCCACACUGGAACUGAGACACGGUCCAGACGCCUACGGGAGGCAGCAGUAGGGAAUCUGCCGCAAUGGGCGAAAGCCUGACGGAGCAACGCCGCGUGAGUGAUGAAGGUCUUCGGAUCGUAAAACUCUGUUAUUAGGGAAGAACAAAUGUGUAAGUAACUAUGCACGUCUUGACGGUACCUAAUCAGAAAGCCACGGCUAACUACGUG